GGCUAUGUUUAUAUUUAUAUUUAUAGUAUAUUUAUAUUUACAGUUAGGGUAUGUUUAUGUUUAUUACAUUGGUUCUGUGUUCAGCACUCCUGUGAAUGUAUGGUCUUAGACGCAGGUGCUUGAAAAAUGAUGUUAGGACUGAAAAUUUAAAAGUAUUUUUUGCUUGUUUAGAUUAUUUUACUGAAGUUACUGUAGCAUAAUUUAUUAGACAUGUUAAGUGUCUUGGUAUCCAGUGGUUCCAGUUACCAUGAGAUGUUUGCAUUAUUUUUCCUAGUCUAUUUAUCCUGUUUCUUUAGGAGGUGACUGUGCUAAAUAGUGUGAGUUUCUACAACAAGAAGCAUACUUACAUUUGUAAACUCUGAGAAAACCCUCUCAAUGACAUUGUCAGUGUGGAGCAGGCCCAGGUCCUGCUUGUCCUUUUACUCCAUUCUCCAAUAAAACCAAAAGGAGUUUAGCAUGCAUACAUAGCAAUGGAAGACAGUAAUACAUCUUAAGUCACUGAACAAUUUAAAAUCUGUAGAACUAUGGAAAAUAAAUUCAGUGUGUCCCAACUGUGAUUUCAGCUUUUGCUUCGAAAACUCUUUAGAUGCAACAUUUUUCAACUAAACUUUGUUACACUUUAUUAGCUGUCUGGGAUGGUGAGUACAUCUUACUCCUACGUUACUGAUACUAAUUGCACUGUUUAUUUGCCAAAUUGACCUAGCAAAGAUCUGAUAAGCUGUGAACUACUAUGCCUAUGUAAUUGUAGGUUUCACUCAACCAAAUAUUCUGUGCUGUGUAUUUCCUUAACAGGGUUUAAAUCCUUCAUUGAAUCAGGCAUUUACUGAUCUGCAGCUUCAGCCUGCUCAUCCAUUUGUAGUACUUGGUGUGUUCCAUGCCCGAAUGUGCCUGAUACCAGUUAUGUGCAGGAAAUGAUAAUGGAACCCCUGUCCUAUACUGAAUUUGGCUGGAAUGGAGAGGACUACAGACCAGAAGAGCCCAAGGAAAAGACUCCACUUUCAGAAUAAAAGAGCUGUCUAAGUCCAUUAAAUAAUUAUUCAGACAUUAGGGGUUAAUAGUGGAUAAGAUUUGCUUUCAGACCACUGUCCUUCAUGGGUAUUUUCAGCAAGUUUUUUUUUUUUGAUUGGUAAAAGUCUGCUUGAUUUGCAAAGAGAAAGAGU